UACGUAGGGGGCAAGCGUUGUCCGGAUUUACUGGGCGUAAAGAGCGCGUAGGCGGAGAUCUAAGCGUGGCCUGAAAGCCCCCGGCUCAACCGGGGAGUGCGGCUGCGAACUGGGUUUCUUGAGGACGAUAGAGGAGAGUGGAAUUCCUGGUGUAGCGGUGAAAUGCGUAGAGAUCAGGAAGAACACCGGUGGCGAAAGCGUUCUGCUAGACCUGUACUGACACUGAGGGACGAAAGCUAGGGGAGCGAAUGGG
rnacentral:rRNA from 1 species